UAAAACUUGUCAAGUAAAAGCAAUCACGCCAGCUUUUAAAAUAGUAAACUUGUCAAGUAAUAACUUUUUUCAAUUUUCCCGGUCUACACGAGCAAAUUUUCCUGCACAUUACAGGCAAUUCGUACGCCUUCGCAAAAUUUGCAGUAACGCGGAUGAUUUCCAAGAACAAUUGUCACGUAUAGAGGGGUUCUUCAGGGCCAGGGGUUAUUCCUUGGAUAUAGUGAAAAGAGGACGAGAGCAAGCAGUGAUAAAUCAUCGUGAUGAUCUCUUGUCAGGAUGCCAGAGCAACAACACCGCUCAAGAAAGAAAACCACUCUCCACAAUUUUUCUCCCAAAGAACUGCCAGGUUAAACCAAACAAGGACUACCUGAGGGUCAUGCUUGAUGCUAAAGGCUGGAAGACAUAAGAAUAGGCAAAUGUAGCCGGGCUUUCUUACUUUGAUACAGCAGUACAAGUUAAUAGGAUUUUUAGAGCAAGAUACUUUGUGUCAAUGAUACUGUAAAUCUGUAAAACAUUUUUUUAUCAACCUGAAGACAAUGAGGAAAGGGGAAAUGAUAGGAGAGUUCUCAAUCAAGUUGUUGCAAUACUGUUAAAGCUUUUUAUAAAAAAUAUAGUCACA